GCAUGUCUAAGUACUUGCCAAACUAAGGCGAAACCGCGAAUGGCUCAUUAAAUCAGUUAUGGUUUACCUGACAGUUAUUUUACAUGGAUAACUGUGGUAAUUCUAGAGCUAAUACAUGCAGCAAGCCUUGACCCUUACGGGCAAGGCGCAGUUAUUAGAUCAAAAACCAAUCGGUUGUAUCUUCGGAUAUAGCCGUUAGCUUGGUGACUCUGAGUAACCACAGCGAACCGUAUGGCCUCGUGCUCGACGGUCUGUCAGUCAAGCAACUGCCUUAUCAGCUUGUUGUUAGGUUAUAUGCCUAACAAGGCUUCAACGGGUAACGAACGAUCGGGGUCGGAUAUCGGAGAGGGAGCUUGAGAAACGGCUACCACUUCCAAGGAAGGCAGCAGGCGCGCAAAUUACCCACUCUCGGCAUGAGGAGGUAGCGAUAAAAUGUAUCGAUGCGGGGCCAUUAGUGCCUUCGUAAUCGGAAUGAGUACACUUUAAAUCCUAUAACAAGGACCUAUUGGAGGGCAAGUCUGGUGCCAGCAGCCGCGGUAAUUCCAGCUCCAAUAGCGUAUAUUAAUGCUGCUGCGGUUAAAAAGCUCGUAGUCGGAUCUGGGUUACCGGCGGGUACCGCAUGUUGCUUCAUGCAGCAUGUUGUGUACUAUACGUGUCGCUUCGGCGGCACUGCCAGUGUAACGCUGCCUCUCGUAGGUACGUUACGCUGGUCGCCGGAACCACGGGCCGGGUUGAGCAGCAUGCUCUUCAUUGAGUGUGUUGUUUACUCGG
rnacentral:rRNA from 1 species